UUGAUCCCUAGGGGAAAUUCAAGAUUCAGGCCUGCAGGCUGAAACUGCCUGGCGUCAAGCAGAUGAUGUAGCCUACAGUUACCAAUAUGUGGCAGACUAGAAAUGUUAAAGUUUAGUUUAACACAUUGUGUUAUACAGUAACAAUGGAUGUGUGGAUAGGAUAGUCCACAUUGUUAAGGGCAAUGAUGGCUUUGAGACAGUCGCAAGGUAUGUCAUGGGAAGUGGCUUUGUAGGAAAGUAUCUUGCUAGAUAAUGUAAGAACUGUAAUACCUGGCCAGAACUACAAGGCCCAGAAUGCUUAGCAUGGAGAGAGGAAGUGGCAAGGAAGAAGAGGGAAAGUUAGAUUUGGCGUUGUGGCUGGUGAAUAAACACGCUUUUCAGUUCGAACUCGUUUGUACGUGAAUCCUUAUACUACUAUCCUCCCCCUGAACAUAUCAAGGUUUACAAUAAUUUAGCCUACUUGACGCAAGUAUGGAUGUUUAAUCUGCUCACCAAUAUCGCCAUAGGGGAGCAGUAUUGCCAUAGAGCAGUCUUUUAGGCUAUCCUUGUCUCGGCCUAUCAUUGCAGAGCGCGACCUCCAAAACAUGACGUCAGCCCGCCCUUAAAACAGGCACACACACCCCCGUCUUUAACUGAGAAGACGUAGCUUACAGACAGCAACGAAGAAUUAUCAGCAGCAAAGGAAUCAGCUAAAGGUAACCCCUGCCUUGAAGUGCAUUUGUUGUUUGACUUAAAUCGACAGCUGUUGAAGUGGCAUACAAUGGACGGACCUGACAGGCAAAUCAUUUACUGCCUUAAAUG